AUUGAACGCUGGCGGCAUGCUUUACACAUGCAAGUCGAACGGCAGCGCGGGCUUCGGCCUGGCGGCGAGUGGCGAACGGGUGAGUAAUGCAUCGGAACGUGCCCAGUAGUGGGGGAUAGCCCGGCGAAAGCCGGAUUAAUACCGCAUACGACCUGAGGGUGAAAGCGGGGGACCGAAAGGCCUCGCGCUAUUGGAGCAGCCGAUGUCGGAUUAGCUAGUUGGUGGGGUAAAGGCUUACCAAGGCGACGAUCCGUAGCUGGUCUGAGAGGACGACCAGCCACACUGGGACUGAGACACGGCCCAGACUCCUACGGGAGGCAGCAGUGGGGAAUUUUGGACAAUGGGGGCAACCCUGAUCCAGCCAUGCCGCGUGCGGGAAGAAGGCCUUCGGGUUGUAAAACGCUUUUGUUCGGGAAGAAAUCCUCUGGGCUAAUACCCCGGGGGGAUGACGGUACCGGAAGAAUAAGCACCGGCUAACUACGUG
rnacentral:rRNA from 1 species